rnacentral:rRNA from 1 species
AGAAUCAACGCUGGCGGCGUGCCUCAGACAUGCAAGUCGAACGCGAAAGUUUCCUUCGGGAGGCGAGUAGAGUGGCGCACGGGUGAGUAACACGUAGGUAAUCUACCUUUGGAUGGGGAAUAACAACCGGAAACGGUUGCUAAUACCGCAUAAUGCAGCGGCACCUAAUGGUGACAGUUGUUAAAGCGGGGUAUCGAAAGACCUCGCGUCUGAAGAGGAGCCUGCGGCGGAUUAGCUAGUUGGUAAGGUAAUGGCUUACCAAGGCGAUGAUCCGUAACCGGCCUGAGAGGGCGGUCGGUCACACUGACACUGACAUACGGGUCAGACUCCUACGGGAGGCAGCAGUCGGGAAUUUUGGGCAAUGGGCGAAAGCCUGACCCAGCAACGCCGCGUGAAGGAUGAAGUCCCUCGGGAUGUAAACUUCGCAAGAACAGGAAGAAUAAGUAGGGGAUAAUACCCCCUAUGAUGACGGUACUGUUUGUAAGCUCCGGCUAACUCCGUGCCAGCAGCCGCGGUAAUACGGGGGGAGCAAGCGUUGUUCGGAUUUACUGGGCGUAAAGGGCGCGUAGGCGGCCACCGCAAGUCGGUUGUGAAAUCUCUGGGCUUAACCCAGAA